AAAUUAUAUAUGUAACAGACACUAACGUUAGACCAUUCUCCUACAACUUCCUUGACCAUCUUGCUUGGCCAUUAAAAUCGCGUGGGAUUACAAUUGGCGUAGUCAUAGAGCCGCAUGGGUGCGCGAAAUUAAGACUGAGCGAAAAAUUAUCAGCGCGAAAAAGGUGUUCUGGGCCGGCUUUUACAGCAGUUUUACAUGACAUGCCAAUUCAAUACCAGAAACGUCAACACUGAUGAACAAAGCUCCCCAAAUUCGAUCACGACUCAUGAAUUUUAUAAUAACGGGCUUUCUCAGUUGUUGACGUUAUUUAUAUUGAAUAGAUGGCAUUCCAGCAAUCCCAUGAGACUUU